rnacentral:rRNA from 1 species
AACGAACGCUGGCGGCAUGCCUAACACAUGCAAGUCGAACGAAGUCUUCGGACUUAGUGGCGCACGGGUGCGUAACGCGUGGGAAUCUGCCCUUGGGUGCGGAAUAACUUCUCGAAAGGGAUGCUAAUACCGCAUAAUGUCGUAAGACCAAAGAUUUAUCGCCCAAGGAUGAGCCCGCGUAAGAUUAGCUAGUUGGUGGGGUAAAAGCCUACCAAGGCGACGAUCUUUAGCUGGUCUGAGAGGAUGAUCAGCCACACUGGGACUGAGACACGGCCCAGACUCCUACGGGAGGCAACAGUGGGGAAUAUUGGACAAUGGGCGAAAGCCUGAUCCAGCAAUGCCGCGUGAGUGAUGAAGGCCCUAGGGUUGUAAAGCUCUUUUACCAGGGAUGAUAAUGACAGUACCUGGAGAAUAAGACUCCGGCUAACUCCGUAGCCAGCAGCC